GACGAACGCUGGCGGCGUACUUAACACAUGCAAGUCGAACGAACAGGCCCUGCUUUUGUGGCGUGCUCGAUUGGCGAACGGGUGUGUAACACGUGAGUAACCUGCCCUUGUCUUUGUGAUAACUUCACGAAACUGGGGCUCUUACCGGAUAGGAGCUCCUGCUGCAUGUUGGUGGUUGGAGAGUUUCGGCGGUUGUGGCUGGACUCGCGGCUUAUCAGCUUGUUGGUGUGGUAGUGGCUUACCAAGGCUUUGACGGGUAGGCGGCCUGAGAGGGUGACCGGGGACAUUGGGACUGAGAGACGGCGCAGACGCCUACGGGAGGCAGCAGUGGGGAAUAUUGCACAAUGGGCGGAAGCCUGAGGCAGCAACGUCGGGUGCGGGAUGACGGCCUUCGAGUUGUAAACCGCUUUCGCCUGUGACGAAGCGGGAGUGACGGUAAUGGGUAAAGAAGCACCGGCUAACUACGUG
rnacentral:rRNA from 1 species